GACAGAGGUGCCAAGCGUUAGGCGGAAUCACUGGGCUUAAAGCGUGUGUAGGUGGAAGCGUAAGUACCUUGUGAAAUCCCACGGCUCAACCGUGGAACUGCUUGGUAUACUGCGUUUCUUGAGCCAACUAGGGGCUAUCGGAACAAGUGGUGGAGCGGUGAAAUGCGUAGAUAUCGUCAAGAACACCUAUAGCGAAGGCAGCUUACUGAGCUGUAACUGACGCUGAGGCACGAAAGUGUGGGGAUCAAACAGG
rnacentral:rRNA from 1 species